UAAGGUGCAACCAAAGCCAGGGUUGGCUCCAAUAAGUAAUCUGAGCUCUAGCUUCAGCUAUAUUCCUGAGUAUUCCUAAGGUUUGAGAAAUGAUCUCAACUUAUUAGGCUUUGAUUGCUCCUUACCCAGAGAAAGAAGGUUAGUCUUCAUCUUUAUGAGGCUACGUGAGCACUGUCCUUCAGAUGGGUAAUCACUGAGAGCCCACGCCAUAACAGAUGGAGUUUCACUUUGUCAUCCAGACUGAAGUGCAGUGGCGCCAUCUCGGCUCACUUCAAUCUCCACCUCCGAGGUUCAAGCGAUUCUACUGCCUCAGCCUCCUGAGUAGGUGGAAUUACAGUGCAAUGCAUUUGACAGAAAGUCCCGAAGAGUGGAUUGGCCAUGUGAUAUGGCAAAGACGAAAACUUCAGUUUACAAACGUGUCAUUUGUUUGCAUUGGUAUUCCUUCCAACUGAUUAAAUUCCAGGAGCUUUUAUGAGUUAAAGCCAGAUUUGCCUGAAGAAGCUUAAUGAAGUUACAGACUGGUUCAAAAAUAAUUAUAUGCACAGAAGAAUAAGAAGACACACAAAAAUAAAUAAAUAAAUUAAUUAAUUAAUUAAUUAAAGAAGACACACAACAGUGUUGCUGUCCAUCGCCAAUAUUGUUUCUGCCAAAUUUUUGGUCUGUAUAUGAGUGCAUGGGAAAUGAAUUUCCACAUGUCCAAAACAACAUGGAAGCAUGGCAGGAAGAUGAGAAAUUUUAAUAGAAAAUGCUCAUGUCGGGGUACAGCAAAUCACAGAAUUUCGAAAAGAGCAACACCACAGUGAACACUUUCUUUAAGGAGGGUUAUGCCCUGUAAGAAAAAAUGCAGCUAUGCCUCACUGUGGAAGGCUUCAAAUAUCGUCAAUGAUUGUGAAAAUCAGCCAGCUCUUAUGGACUAUCUCCAUGCAAUUGCCCAUAAACUAUUUCUGCCAUGUACUUUUUCAUACAUCAAAUUUUCUUUUUCAUUUCUUGGGGGGCUUUCUGGGGUUAUUUUUUCCUUUUUCAGUUUUGCCCCACUAUUUUAAAUUGUCAGCAUUAUGUUUUACAAUUUGCUAUGCUAAGUAUCUCAUAUUUGUAUCAUUUUCAAUACUGAAGAUAUAAAUUGCAUAGAGACUUUUAGAGAGUUCCAACUCAUUUUAUGUAUUUUUUGACAGAUCUGACUCCAUGUAAGUGCAUUAUCAAAAGGUUGACUUUGUGUGGAAGUAUUGUGUGUGUACAUAACAACAUUGAAACUUCCUCAGUAAAUGAAGACAGGUCAUUUGUUACAUCUUCAUUUGUGAAAGAUAAAUUCUCUCCAGAUCUCAAUUACUGGGGAGACUGCAUAUGCAGUGGUGACCCAUGGUGGGUUUUGAUCAAAUAUCAAAAGACUUGGGUUAUUUGUCAGUGUUUCAGAUGAGAGAAGUUAUAAAGCUGGUGCACACAAUUACCAGCCAUAGCAAUAUACAUUUGUAUAUUUCCAUUUUUGACCUUUUUUUUAUAAAUAACAGUUCAUCUGCUUAUGAUUGUUAUAUGUGCAUGACUCAUUACCAUACCUGAGUGUUUAUGUUUGCAAAAAGAUGUUAUUGUAUAUUUUACUGUGUACAGUGGCCUAUGAAAUGUU